AUUGAACGCUGGCGGCAGGCCUAACACAUGCAAGUCGAACGAGUGGCGGACGGGUGAGUACUGUCUGGGAAACUGCCCGAUGGAGGGGGAUAACUACUGGAAACGGUAGCUAAUACCGCAUACCAUCGGAUGUGCCCAGAUGGGAUUAGCUAGUAGGUGGGGUAACGGCUCACCUAGGCGACGAUCCCUAGCUGGUCUGAGAGGCUGACCAGCGACACUGGAACUGAGACACGGCACAUACUCCGACGGGAGGCAGCAGUGGAGAAGAUUGCACAAUGGGCGCAAACAAGAAGCAGCAAGGCAGCGAGUAUGAAGAAGGCCUUCGGGUUGUAAAGUACUUUCAGCGAGGAGGCGUUACUCGCAGAAGAAGCAACGGCUAACUCCGUGCCAGCAGCCGCGGUAAUUC
rnacentral:rRNA from 1 species